rnacentral:rRNA from 1 species
UUUAUUGAGAGUUUGAUCCUGGCUCAGGACGAACGCUGGCGGCGUGCCUAACACAUGCAAGUCGAGCGAGAGGAGUUCCUUCGGGAACAAAUCUAGCGGCGGACGGGUGAGUAACACGUGGGCAACCUGCCUUGUAGAGGGGAAUAGCCUUCCGAAAGGAAGAUUAAUACCGCAUAACAUUACAUUUUCGCAUGAAGAAGUAAUUAAAGGAGCAAUCCGCUACAAGAUGGGCCCGCGGCGCAUUAGCUAGUUGGUGAGGUAACGGCUC